GCUUAACACAUGCAAGUCGAGGGGCAGCAUGGUCUUAGCUUGCUAAGGCCGAUGGCGACCGGCGCACGGGUGAGUAACACGUAUCCAACCUGCCGUCUACUCUUGGACAGCCUUCUGAAAGGAAGAUUAAUACAAGAUGGCAUCAUGAGUCCGCAUGUUCACAUGAUUAAAGGUAUUCCGGUAGACGAUGGGGAUGCGUUCCAUUAGAUAGUAGGCGGGGUAACGGCCCACCUAGUCUUCGAUGGAUAGGGGUUCUGAGAGGAAGGUCCCCCACAUUGGAACUGAGACACGGUCCAAACUCCUACGGGAGGCAGCAGUGAGGAAUAUUGGUCAAUGGGCGAGAGCCUGAACCAGCCAAGUAGCGUGAGGGAUGACUGCCCUAUGGGUUGUAAACUUCUUUUAUAAAGGAAUAAAGUCGGGUAUGGAUACCCGUUUGCAUGUACUUUAUGAAUAAGGAUCGGCUAACUCCGUGCCAGCAGCCGCGGUAAUACGGAGGAUCCGAGCGUUAUCCGGAUUUAUUGGGUUUAAAGGGAGCGUAGAUGGAUGUUUAAGUCAGUUGUGAAAGUUUGCGGCUCAACCGUAAAAUUGCAGUUGAUACUGGAUAUCUUGAGUGCAGUUGAGGCAGGCGGAAUUCGUGGUGUAGCGGUGAAAUGCUUAGAUAUCACGAAGAACUCCGAUUGCGAAGGCAGCCUGCUAAGCUGCAACUGACAUUGAGGCUCGAAAGUGUGGGUAUCAAACAGGAUUAGAUACCCUGGUAGUCCACACGGUAAACGAUGAAUACUCGCUGUUUGCGAUAUACUGCAAGCGGCCAAGCGAAAGCGUUAAGUAUUCCACCUGGGGAGUACGCCGGCAACGGUGAAACUCAAAGGAAUUGACGGGGGCCCGCACAAGCGGAGGAACAUGUGGUUUAAUUCGAUGAUACGCGAGGAACCUUACCCGGGCUUAAAUUGCAGAUGAAUUACGGUGAAAGCCGUAAGCCGCAAGGCAUCUGUGAAGGUGCUGCAUGGUUGUCGUCAGCUCGUGCCGUGAGGUGUCGGCUUAAGUGCCAUAACGAGCGCAACCCUUGUUGUCAGUUACUAACAGGUUCCGCUGAGGACUCUGACAAGACUGCCAUCGUAAGAUGUGAGGAAGGUGGGGAUGACGUCAAAUCAGCACGGCCCUUACGUCCGGGGCUACACACGUGUUACAAUGGGGGGUACAGAGGGCCGCUACCACGCGAGUGGAUGCCAAUCCCCAAAACCUCUCUCAGUUCGGACUGGAGUCUGCAACCCGACUCCACGAAGCUGGAUUCGCUAGUAAUCGCGCAUCAGCCACGGCGCGGUGAAUACGUUCCCGGGCCUUGUACACACCGCCCGUCAAGCCAUGGGAGCCGGGGGUACCUGAAGUGCGUAACCGCGAGGAGCGCCCUAGGGUAAAACUGGUGACUGGGGCUAA
rnacentral:rRNA from 1 species